CGUUAUGGCGGCGGUGCGUGGGAGGCUUCGGCCUGCCGGGUUCCUAUGUCCCCGGUCUGCGAACCCGCGUACCGUCGCCCCCAUU
rnacentral:antisense_RNA from 1 species